rnacentral:rRNA from 1 species
ACGCUCGACACCUACGGGGGCAGCAGUCGGGAAUAUUGCGCAAUGGAGGAAACUCUGACGCAGUGACGCCGCGUGCAGGAAGAAGGUUUUCGGAUUGUAAACUGCUUUAGACAGGGAAGAAAAAGGACAGUACCUGUAGAAUAAGCUCCGGCUAACUACGUACCAGCAGCCGCGGUAAUCUGAGCGGGCUGGCAAGGC